rnacentral:rRNA from 1 species
CAGCCGCCACGGGAAUACGAAGGGGGCUAGCGUUGCUCGGAAUUACUGGGCGUAACGGGAGCGUAGGCGGACAUUUAAGUCGGGGGUGAAAUCCCAGAGCUCAACUCUGGAACUGCCUUUGAUACUGGGUGUCUUGAGUGUGAUAGAGGUAUGUGGAACUCCGAGUGUAGAGGUGAAAUUCGUAGAUAUUCGGAAGAACACCAGUGGCGAAGGCGACAUACUGGAUCAUUACUGACGCUGAGGCUCGAAAGCGUGGGGAGCAAACAGGAUUAGAUACCCCCGUAGUCCCUGUCUCUUAUAA